rnacentral:lncRNA from 1 species
AUGGUGUUGCUUCCUGCCUCUCUCUGGGGUCGCCUGGCAACCAUUUGCUAGCCUCCUGCCAUCAGAUCCCUAUCGAGCAAGGGCAUCUGGAAGCUCAUUUGGGAUGAGAACUGCUCCCUUUCACCAUCCCUGCUGGCCUUCUGUGGGCAGAGAUGCCCUGUGAUUGUUCCUGUCUGAUCACAUUCCCCACUCUCCUUGCCCUGAAGCUAACAUCUUUGCACUGGCUGGAGUAAGCCCAAAGGUUGUUAAACACUGGUUUGGCCACUGGGUUUUGCUACAGGAAUGAAAGUGGAUGAAUGCCUCGUGCUGAUCCACACCUUGGUAAGAGCACCUUCUUCUGACAUCCCACCUUGGGGUUAAGCCUCCUCCCCUGGCUGUGGUGCUACAGAUAUAAAUCACCUUUCUAUAGCUGG